rnacentral:rRNA from 1 species
AACGAACGCUGGCGGCAUGCUUAACACAUGCAAGUCGAACGGGAUCCUGGCUUCGGUCAGGUGAGAGUGGCGGACGGGUGAGUAACGCGUGGGAACCUGCCCAUUGGUUCGGAACAACCGCGGGAAACUGCGGCUAAUACCGGAUACGCCCCUGGGCAACCAGGGGGAAAGAUUUAUCGCGCAUUGGAGGGGCCCGCGUCCGAUUAGGUAGUUGGCGGGGUAACGGCCCACCAAGCCAUCGAUCGGUAGCUGGUCUGAGAGGAUGAUCAGCCACACUGGGACUGAGAAACGGCCCAGACUCCUACGGGAGGCAGCAGUGGGGAAUAUUGGACAAUGGGGGCAACCCUGAUCCAGCAAUGCCGCGUGAGUGAUGAAGGCCUUCGGGUUGUAAAGCUCUUUUGUCCGGGAAGAUAAUGACUGUACCGGAAGAAUAAGCCCCGGCAAACUUCGUGCCAGCCGCCGCAGUAA